UGCACAACAUGCACAACACACACGCAGACAUAGACGUAGAGCUGCUCCAGCUGUGCAGCUCGCGGUCGGCCCGUUGCUAGGCGACCACUUUGUUUAACGACUUUCACUUCUCUUGAUUCCUGACUGAGACCUCCACGCUUUUUGAUUCUCUGAACUUUCAUUAAUUGAUCUUUCAUCUUUCACACUUUCACCUUCCUUCAAUUUCCCACACUGCUUUUACUAUCUACCGCUAUCAACUUUUCCCUUCGGACCUUUUCUCUAUUUUUGGAUUUGAAGACUUUUGAUUUCAACCGUGAAACUCCGAUUGGUUUUUUAAGUACGCUUGAACCCUGAACCCUGAUUGAACCCUGAACCUGAUGGCGAGCCUACCCCGUGAACGACGUCCCUGACCCGCGACUAAACCCUUGAAGACUGGACCCCCUGCCUUUCCCCAGAUAAGCGUCACAUACAUUGAUACAAAUACACUCGACACUCCCUCGGACUAUUUCCCUCCUUUUUAUUUUAUUUCUAUUCCCUUCCACGGACAAUCCAAGUUUCCCUUUUUAAUCUUCAUGGACAUUGGCCAUUUUAUUGUUUUACAGAGCUCUGGUUUUAUUUAAUUAUUUUCACUAUUUAUUAUUUUAUUGUUUUGGGUAUUUUAAUACAGCUACAAGCUGAAUACUUGAACUUAACCACCUCAUUAUUGAUGAAUAAAUAUUGUAAUUGUUUUCUUGUA